rnacentral:rRNA from 1 species
GAAGAACCUUACCAAGGCUUGACAUGCAUCUCUAAACACGUGAAAGCGUGUGACCCUUCGGGGAAUUUGCACAGGUGCUGCAUGGCCGUCGUCAGCUCGUGUCGUGAGAUGUUGGGUUAAGUCCCGCAACGAGCGCAACCCUUGUGAUUAGUUGCCAGCACGUCAAGGUGGGAACUCUAGUCAGACUGCCCAGAUCAACUGGGAGGAAGGUGGGGACGACGUCAGGUCAGUAUGGCCCUUACGCCUUGGGCUGCACACGUACUACAAUGCCCAGCACAAUGAGAACCGAUGCCGCGAGGUGGAGGAAAUCUGUAAAACUGGGCUCAGUUCGGAUUGGAGGCUGCAACUCGCCUCCAUGAAGUUGGAAUCGCUAGUAAUGGGGCAUCAUCUACGGCCCCGUGAAUACGUUCCCGGGUCUUGUACACACCGA